rnacentral:rRNA from 1 species
GUGGGGAAUAUUGGACAAUGGGCGCAAGCCUGAUCCAGCCAUGCCGCGUGAGUGAUGAAGGCCCUAGGGUUGUAAAGCUCUUUCAGUGGGGACGAUAAUGACGGUACCCACAGAAGAAGCCCCGGCUAACUUCGUGCCAGCAGCCGCGGUAAUACGAAGGGGGCUAGCGUUGUUCGGAUUUACUGGGCGUAAAGCGCACGUAGGCGGAUCGUUAAGUCGAGGGUGAAAUCCUGGAGCUCAACUCCAGAACUGCCUUCGAUACUGGCGAGCUUGAGUCCGGAAGAGGUGAGUGGAACUCCUAGUGUAGAGGUGGAAUUCGUAGAUAUUAGGAAGAACACCAGUGGCGAAGGCGGCUCACUGGUCCGGUACUGACGCUGAGGUGCGAAAGCGUGGGGAGCAAACAGGAUUAGAAACCCUGGUAGUCC